GUGACUGCUCAGUGCAUAUGCUAAAACCGGAACAAUACAGAGAAGAUUAGCAUGACCCUGACAAAAGUUGACGUGUAAAUCCGUGAAGCAUUCCAUAUUUUU
ensembl:snRNA U6 U6 spliceosomal RNA